GUGAUAGAAAGUCAUCAGGACAGACUAUUGGGCGCCAAGCAACAUGGAGAAUCAAGGAACACAACAAAGCGAAGGGAGUAACACAUGAGUGGAUGGAGAUUUAGAUACAGGAGGGCACAAUCCACCAACAUUUACUGAAGCUACAUUGGAAGAAUCAAGUGCACACACGCCGCCGGCAGCAACCAGAGAUGGGAAUGAAAUGAUAUCAGAAGUUAUGUCAACGCUGCAAUGUCCAUACAAGGAAAUGGUGUUUGAUAGCGUAAAAGCAGCGGAGGACCACUACAAGAUGUAUGCCAGAAGGUACGGGUUUGGCAUUAGAUAUGACUACAAGAGGAAGUCUGAAGUUGAUGGUGAAAUCAGUAGGGUUUCCAUCGUGUGCCACAGGGCGGGUGUCCAGUCCACAAAGAAGGACACAUAGAAUCCCGAGCCUGUUGUCAAAUUGAGAAGCAGAAACAUUACGAAAAGAACUGGUUGUAAGGCUAGGAUGAUGAUCAAGAGGAGGCCAAAUGGAUGGUUGGUCAUUGAGUUCA